UACGUAGGGGGCAAGCGUUGUCCGGAUUUAUUGGGCGUAAAGAGCGUGUAGGCGGCCUUACAGGUCAGCUGUGAAAACUCGAGGCUCAACCUCGAGACGUCGGUUGAAACCCCCCAGCUAGAGUCCGGAAGAGGAGAGUGGAAUUCCUGGUGUAGCGGUGAAAUGCGCAGAUAUCAGGAAGAACACCCGUGGCUAAGGCGGCUCUCUAGUACGGUACUGACGCUGAGACGCGAAAGCGUGGGGAGCGAACAGG
rnacentral:rRNA from 1 species